GGUGUCUGCGGCAGCCAUCUUUGUUGAUGUGUCAGCUUUCAGUUCCUCUUAGGAGCUUGCAGCAGGAACAAGGGGAGGAGGGAAGGACGACCCCUCGUUACUAUUAGCAAUGGGAGGGCAGCUACGCUCGCCCAAGAUCUUCUGCUUUCCAGCUUCCUAGCAAACUGGUAAGAGCUAUCCUGGCAGGGCGGGUGUUCAGACGUGGUUUUUUGGAAACACAAGCAAUGUGGAUUGAUGUGGCUUGCGAGAGCACCUGUUAUUAGGCAGGAGGAGUGGGGUGGGGAUGGCAGAUCUAGCUUGGUGUGUUUUGUUUCUCAAUUGCUUCUUUAGAGUUUGGAAUGGUUUCGAUGCCCCCGAUGCUGAACCUUCUAAGGUGCUUCCCGGCAUGUUUCCUCCCUCCCUCCCUGCGGAACAUUUCUUAGCAUAGUAAAACUAGGCUGCUUGUCCGUGUUAGGUUUUUGUUUUUUUCCAUUUCUUUUAUUUAACCACAUUUUUGGCUAAAAGAUGGACUGGAGUCCCCCUCUAGAAAUUGAAAUACAAAACUGGUGUACCUGCUUUACCAGGAAGUGAAAUAAUAGGUGAGUACCUUGCCCUCAAGGUCACACAGGCACGCACACAUACACAUCAUUGUAUCAUAUUGUCUGAAUUCCCCUGCUGGUUCACAUUUCAGAGAUGCCUUUGUACAGGUGUGUGGGUGUCAGCUGUCAUUAGAAAGCUUGUCUGUCUGGUAGGCUUUUUGUUUAUACAUCAAAAGUUGUCAGGUGGCCAAAUUGCUCAGGACCUUUAACAUUUUGACCCCAAAUACUUACGGUUGUUCUCUGAAUGUGACACCUUUUAUGAAUACACACCAUCAGUCUUAACAAGAAUUGCUUAAUAAAGUAUUGUUCUGUCCCAUGCAAAGCUUGGGGAGGGAUUGUAUUUACUGGUUUCAGCUUUAUUGAUGUCAGUUUAUUGUGAGAUGUGGAAUUUGUCUAAAUGUAGUAUAGGAGCAGACAAUGCAAUACUUUCAUUCAGUUAAGCAUCGUAGCUCUUCUUGGUUCAUCUGCUGUGCUUUUCUGUUCUGCAUAAUUAGCUUGCAUCUGAGGCUUUUCUCAAUGGAAAAUGUUUCUUGCCAUUUGUACUUGCUUCAAAGCAUUGAGAUUAGGAAAGCUUUUUUUCUAUCUUGGUUUCUGCUUUUUCUUUCUUCUGUUAUCAGUUAGUAGCCUUUAGAUAUUGCACAGCAAGUGUUUUUGCUAAUCAUCCUCCUGAGAUUUAGAGCCUGAUUCUAUAUCCCUGUUUGUUUAGGAGUAAUGCUACUGAAUUCACAGGCAUUUACUGCCAGGUAAGUGUGCAUAGGACUGCAGCCUUUGUUAUUGUCUUUGAUUUUGAGCUAUUAACAAUGGGCUCUAUGGCUUCCAUGUUGGAAAACCAGAAGGCCUUAUUGCCUGUAAAACCAUACAACAUUAUGAAUGGUCACUUACAUUAUGGCCCUAUCCCAGAAAGCAGUUUGUUCACAAAACCAUUCCACACAGUUUUUCCACAGUAUAUUUUAAUGCUGCUACAAGUGUCUUCCUGGGCUGACUGUGACAGAGAUAAAAUCCUAUGUACUGAAGCAUUUGUUUCAGUAAAGUGCCUUUUUUCAUUUUGGGGUGGGUCGGUGCCUUUCCCUUUGUUAAUAACAUUAUAUAUAUUAAAAUUAGAGUUUGGUUUUUGAUGUAUAAGAAUCCACAUAGCUUAGGUAAAGGUUAGGGUUGUCUUGUAUUUCAUUUUUGAUCUGUACACUUGAUAAUUGUUGUGGGCCAUGCAAACAAAAGAACUGUUAUUUGAAAGCUUUGCUGUGAUGUGAUUCUAAGGCCAGCUGGUAUGAGCUGCUGCUACUAGAUCUGUUUAUUUUUAAAAUCUUUCUAGGCAAAAGAGAUAUUCAAGCCAGGUUCCCAAAAUAGCAAAAAAAGUGCAACAUUUAUUAACAUUAAAGGAUAUGU
rnacentral:lncRNA from 1 species